rnacentral:rRNA from 1 species
AACGAACGCUGCGGCAGGCCUAACACAUGCAAGUCGAGCGCACCUUCGGGUGAGCGGCGGACGGGUUAGUAACGCGUGGGAACGUACCCUUUUCUACGGAAUAGCCUUUGGAAACGAAGAGUAAUACCGUAUACGCCCUUUGGGGGAAAGAUUUAUCGGAGAAGGAUCGGCCCGCGUUAGAUUAGAUAGUUGGUGGGGUAACGGCCUACCAAGUCUACGAUCUAUAGCUGGUUUUAGAGGAUGAUCAGCAACACUGGGACUGAGACACGGCCCAGACUCCUACGGGAGGCAGCAGUGGGGAAUCUUAGACAAUGGGCGCAAGCCUGAUCUAGCCAUGCCGCGUGAGUGAUGAAGGCCUUAGGGUCGUAAAGCUCUUUCGCCUGUGAUGAUAAUGACAGUAGCAGGUAAAGAAACCCCGGCUAACUCCGUGCCAGCAGCCGCGGUAAUACGGAGGGGGUUAGCGUUGUUCGGAAUUACUGGGCGUAAAGCGCACGUAGGCGGAUUGGAAAGUUGGGGGUGAAAUCCCGGGGCUCAACCCCGGAACUGCCUCCAAAACUAUCAGUCUAGAGUUCGAGAGAGGUGAGUGGAAUUCCAAGUGUAGAGGUGAAAUUCGUAGAUAUUUGGAGGAACACCAGUGGCGAAGGCGGCUCACUGGCUCGAUACUGACGCUGAG